AGCGAACGCUGGCGGCAUGCUUAACACAUGCAAGUCGCACGGGCAGCCAUGUCAGUGGCGGACUGAUGAGUAACGCGUCGGAACCUGUCCUGAGGUGGGGGACAACCUAGGGUUACUGGGGCUAAUACCGCAGAUGGGCUGCGGCCCAACGCCGAGGGGCGAGUUAGGUGCGGCCUGCGUCCGUUUAGCUAGUGGGGGGGGUAUAGGCCUACCAAGCCUGGGAUCGUUAGCUGGUCUGAGAGAACGACCAGCCACACUGGGACGGAGACACGGCGCAGACUCCUACGGGAGGGAGGAGUGGGGAAUACUGGAAAAUGGGGGAAAGCAUGAAGGAGUUCGGCCGGGUGAGUGAAGAAGGUGUGCGGAAAGUACAGCCCGUUCGACGGGGGCGAUUCUGACGGUACCCGUAGAAGAAGCACCGGCUAACUUCGUG
rnacentral:rRNA from 1 species